rnacentral:rRNA from 1 species
GACGAACGCUGGCGGCGUGCCUAACACAUGCAAGUGGAGCGACGACCCAGGCUUCGGCCUGGUGCAAAGCCGCGAACGGGUGAGUAACACGUGGGUAACCUGCCCCGAUGAUUGGGACAACCCGAGGAAACUCGGGCUAAUACCGAAUGUGCCCUCCAGCCAUAAGGCUACUGGGGAAAGGAAGCUUCGGCCUCCGCAUCGGGAUGGGCCCGCGGCCCAUUAGCUUGUUGGUGAGGUAAUGGCUCACCAAGGCUACGAUGGGUAGCUGGUCUGAGAG